AUGGCUUGUGCUCCGGACCAGCCAUGGACCAUAGAUACCCUGUUCCAGUUGAAGUUCACAGCAGAGCAGCUGGAGAAGCUGGCCAAGAAGGUCGAGAAGGACUCCAAGGCUGAGCGGGCCAAGGUGAAGAAGGCCCUUCAGCAGAAAAAUGUUUUGUGUGCCCAGGUGUUUGCUGAAAAUGCCAUCUGCAAGAAGAAUGAAGGUGUAAACUGGCUCCAGAUGGCAUCCCGUGUGGAUGCAGUGGCCUCCAAGAUGCAGAAAGCUGUGACCAUGAAGGGGGUGACUAAGAAUAUGGCACAGGUGACCAAAGCUCUGGACAAGGCCCUGAGUGCCAUGGACCUUCAGAAGGUGUCUGAAGUGAUGGACAGGUUUGAGCAGCAGGUGCAGAACCUGGAUGUGCACACAUCAGUAAUGGAGGAUUCUGUGAGCUCUGCCACUAUGCUGACCACACCUCAGGAGCAGGUCGACAGCCUCAUUUUUCAGAUUGUUGAGGAAAAUGGCCUGGAGGUCCUAGACCAGCUCAGCCAGCUGUCAGAGGGAGCCUCUGCUGUGGGCGAGAGUUCUGUGUGCAGCCAGGAGGACCAGCUGUCCUGGAGGUUGGCUGCCCUGAGGAAUUAGCGCGUCUGUGGCAGGUACUACCUCCCUUGCCCUGUGAUGUUCUGGAGGCUUCUGCCCAACUGCGCUCCACUUUCUCCAACCCUUUGUAGCUGCCUUGGCUCUUUUCCAACCUGUCAGGCUGGCGCCUUAGAACUGAGCCUUAGGUUGGGCAGCGGGUCUGUGUC